rnacentral:lncRNA from 1 species
AUGCCUGAAGCAGACAAAACAGUAGUGAAAUCAGUGGUAACAGAGCCUGAAGCAGAUAAAACAGUAGUGACGUCCACUGUAACCAUGCCUGAAGCAGACAAAACAGUAGUGAAAUCAGUGGUAACAGAGCCUGAAGCAGAUAAAACAGUAGUGACGUCCACUGUAACCAUGCCUGAAGCAGACAAAACAGUAGUGAAAUCAGUGGUAACAGAGCCUGAAGCAGACAAAACAGUAGUGACAUCAGUGGUAACAGAGCCUGAAGCAGACAAGACAAAAGUGGCAUCAGUGGUGACAGAUCUUCAAAUACAAACACCAGAUGUGAGGACAGUACCAGUUUUGGAAGAAAUUCCAAAACUAGGAGAGACACCCACAGUGGUCUCAGAAAUGCAAACAGCAGUGUUACCAGGGGUCCAAACACCAGUGUCAAAAGACACAGAUAUAGUAGCUGCGAUUGAAGAAAAUGAUGCAAAAGUCAAAACACCAGUGGUUGUUGAGAUAACAGAACCAAUGUUUGAGGUACCUGUGGCAUCAGAGGUUGUCAUACAAACAGCAGUGUCUGAACUGGAAGCAGAACUACCAGAUGUGACAUCAGCACUUAUAACAGAAACUGUGGUGCAGACAUAUGUGGAAAAGAAGCUUGAAAUGCAGAGCACUGUUGUGGCCUCUGUAAAAGAAGACACAGUCAAUGAGCCACCUGUGAUAAUAAUGGCAAAAACACCAGAAGUACACCCAGUACUGAAAACAUCUACAGUCAUCUCAACAAUACAAACCCCAGCCACUGGUAAUUUGGAGCAGAAACCUGAAGUGCCAGAGGCAAUGCCAGAAGUAAGCCAAACCAAACCUGAGACUUCAGGUGCAGUUGGUACCAACAUGACAGAGAUUGCAUCACAUAAAUUAACAGAAAUAAAAGUAGAAACUACAGUAGUAACUGAGGUGGAAGUAAAACAAACAGCUGCAGCACCAGUGACAGCAGAGCUUCAAGAGAAAUUCGUGAAAAAAGAAGAGGCACCAGUAAUAACAUCAGUUGUUAAAGAACCAGCAACAGUAGCCUCAGUAAUACAAACUCCAACAUUGGUUGCAACACCAAAAAUUGUUCCAGCAGUUGAAAAGCCAACAGUCGUCCAAGUACCAGCUGCAGUUUCAGGAAUACAGACAAUUGGCAUAGGAGUAAAGGCAGCAGAAGCACAAGCCAUAGCACCAGAAGUAAAGGACAUACACAAGGAGGCAUCAGGUGCAGUUGCGGUUGAAGUUAAACCAUCUCAGUUGGAGGCAGCAAAAGCACCAGUGACAACUGAACAGGUCACACAGAAAGAGGACACAAAAAGUCUUCAAACAGAUGUUCCUGUCUCCCUCGCAAAGACAGUUGAACCCCAAACAGAUGUGGAAGAUGAUGUGUGGGAAGAUGCUGUAGAUGAUAUGAGAGAGGAUGAGAAUUCAGUUACCAAAGCAGGUGCUGAAUAA